rnacentral:lncRNA from 1 species
CUCUCUCCAUCUCUGUGUGUCUGUUUCUACCUCUCUUCUCUUUUCUGUGGAGGAAUGAGGGAUGGAAAUGAAGAGGAGCCUGAGGAAAAGAAGGUCCAGUGACAGGCCCUAAGUGGGAUCCAGCUCAAGAGGAGGUUCCAAGGACUGACACAGAGGUUAUGGAGCACUCACAAAAAAGGACCUAUCAUGACUUCUCUCCAAAAGACCCAACAAGCAGCUGAAAGAGUCAGAUGCAGAUAUUUGCACCCAACCAAUGGACAGAAGCAGCUGACCCCUGUUGUUGAAAUAGGGAAGGUUGAAAGAAGCUUUAAGAAUCUUCCUCAAAACUUCAUAUCAUCUAUGACAACCACUACAGAGUACUCUGCUGCAGUAUAACACACCAUUUCUAAAAUAUUGACCUAACUAUUUAGUAAUCAGUUGUGUGGUCUUAUUUAACAUAUUUAAUUCAUUAAUAAUAACCUAACUUCAUUGAGAUUGUUUAUAGAUUUUAAUAAUUAAAGGUUAAAGAACUAUUUUAUGUAAAAUAUAGUAUCAUUGGCCAAUGUAUUCAGAUACUUAAUCAGGAAUAUUAAGGUGAUGUAAUAAAUAAAUAAGUAAAUUGCUGAAAAAUUGUAAAAUUGAUUACUACAUGUGUUGUCAUUAAAUUAUCAUACUACCAAAAUUUAAAAUUCUAAUUAUUUUGUGUAAUACUAUGUGUGAAGUAGAAAAAAAAAACUAAACUAUGUUUUGGUGAGAAAAGUCUUUAAAAUGUGUAAAAAAUUAUUUACAAGGGAAUAAUUUGUCUAAAUUCAGAAACUUUUAAAAGUUAAUUUUGAAAUGUAACCACCAAGAAACCAAAUAUGUUUUUAAAAUGAGGAAAUGAACCAGUUAGGGGGAUUGCAACCCCAUUGGAAGAACAACAAAGGUUGGCCUGACCACAAAGUUUUCCCAGAGUCUAGACCACCAACCAAGGAGUGUACUUGGAGGGAUCCAUGGCUCCACAUAUAUAUAUAGCAGAGGAUGGCCUUACCAGACAGCAAUGGAAGGGAAGGUCCUUUGUCCAGGGGAUGUUUGAUGCUCCAGCAUAGGGGGAUGCUGGAGCAGUGGGCAAGAGAGUGUAGGCAGGUGGGGGAGCACCCUGAUACAGACAAAGGGAAGGGGAAAGUGGGCAUGUGGGAUGGAGUGAUGGUGGAGGAAUAACUGGGAAGUGGGAUAUCAUUUGAAAUGUAAAUAAAUGGAAUGAUUAAUAAAAAAGUGUUGGAUCAGAACU